rnacentral:tRNA from 1 species
CGACAUGGUAGUUUAAACUAUUAGGACGCGAAUUUUGGGGAUUUGAAGUCCCUUCUGGGCCUGUUGA